rnacentral:lncRNA from 1 species
AUGGAACAUAAGGAAGUGGUUCUUCUACUUCUGUUAUUUCUGAAAUCAGCACCGACUGAGACAGGGCCUUCUGUGCAGGAGUGCUACCACAGUAAUGGACAGAGUUAUCGAGGCACAUACUUCACCACUGUCACAGGAAGAACCUGCCAAGCUUGGUCAUCUAUGACGCCACACCAGCACAGUAGAACCCCAGAAAAGUACCCAAAUGAUGGCUUGAUCUCGAACUACUGCAGGAAUCCGGAUUGUUCGGCAGGCCCUUGGUGUUAUACGACGGAUCCCAAUGUCAGGUGGGAGUACUGCAACCUGACACGGUGCUCAGACGAUGAAGGGACUGUGUUCGUGCCUCUGACUGUUAUCCCAGUUCCAAGCCUAGAGGAUUCAUUCAUACAAGCACCGACAGAGCCAAGGCCUUCUGUUCAGGAGUGCUACCAUGGAAAUGGACAGAGUUAUCGAGGCACAUAUUUCACCACUGUCACAGGAAGAACCUGCCAAGCUUGGUCAUCUAUGACACCACACCAGCACAGUAGGACCCCGGAACAGUACCCAAAUUGGCUUGAUCUCCAACUACUGCAGGAAUCCGGAUUGUUCGGCAGGCCCUUGGUGUUAUACAACGGAUCCCAAAGUCAGGUGGGAGUACUGCAACCUGACAGGAUUGCUACCAUGGAAAUGGACAGAGUUAUCGAGGCACAUACUUCACCACCGUCACAGGAAGCACUUGCCAAGCUUGGUCAUCUAUGACACCACACCAGCACAGUAGGACCUCAGAAAAGUACCCAAAUUGACUUGAUCAUGAACUACUGCAGGAAUCCAGAUCCUGUGGAAGGCCCUUGGUGUUACACGAUGGAUCCCAAAGUCAGAUGGGAGUACUGCAACCUGACACGAUGCUCAGACACAGAAGGGACUGCAGUCGUGCCUCUGACUGUUAUCCCGGUUCCAAGCCUAGAGGAUCCUUCCAAACCAGCACCAACAGAGCCAAGGCCUUGGGAGCAGCAGUGCUACCACGGUAAUGGACAGAGUUAUCGAGGCACAUACUUCACCACUGUCACAGGAAGAACCUGCCAAGCUUGGUCAUCUAUGACGCCACAUCAGCACAGUAGGACCCCAGAAAAGUACCCAAAUUGGCCUGACCAGGAACUACUGCAGGAAUCCAGAUUCUGGGAAACAACCCUGGUGUUACACAACUGAUCCGUGUGUGAGGUGGGAGUACUGCAACCUGACACAAUGCUCAGAAACAGAAUCAGUGUCCUAGAGACUCCCACUGUUGUUCCAGUUCCAAGCAUGGAGGCUCAUUCUGAACACCAACUGAGCAAACCCCUGUGGUCCGGCAGUGCUACCAUGGUAAUGGACAGAGUUAUCAAGGCACAUUCUCCACCACUGUCACAGGAAGGACAUGUCAAUCUUGGUCAUCCAUGACACCACACCGGCAUCAGAGGACCCCAGAAAACUACCCAAAUGAUGGCCUGACAAUGAACUACUGCAGGAAUCCAGAUGCCGAUACAGGCCCUUGGUGUUUUACCACAGACCCCAGCGUCAGGUGGGAGUACUGCAACCUGACGCGAUGCUCAGACAGAAGGGACUGUGGUCGCUCCUCCGACUGUUAUCCAGGUUCCAAGCCUAGAGGCUCCUUCCGAACAAACUCUAUGUUUGGGAAUGGGAAAGGAUACCGGGGCAAGAAGGCAACCACUGUUACUGGGACGCCACGCCAAGAAUGGACUGCCCAAGAGCCCCAUAGACACAGCAGGUUCACUCCAGGGACAAGUCCACGGGCAGUACUGCCGUAACCCUGAUGGUGACAUCAAUGGUCCCUGGUGCUACAGAGUGAAUCCAAGAAAACUUUUUGACUACUGUGAUAUCCCUCUCUGUGCAUCCUCUUCAUUUGAUUGUGGGAAGCCUCAAGUGGAGCCAAAGAAAUGUCCCAGAAGCAUUGUAGGGGGUUGUGUGGCCCACCCACAUUCCUGGCCCUGGCAAGUCAGUCUUACAACAAGGCCUGCCAUCAUCACUGACAGAGUAAUCCCAGCCUGUCUGCCAUCCCCAAAUUACGUGGUCACCGCCUGGAUUGAAUGUUAUGUCACUGGCUGGGGAGAAACCCAAGCCCCAGCUUCUUGUGAUUGAGAAUAAAGUGUGCAAUCGCUAUGAGUAUCUGAAUGGAAGAAUCAAAUCCACUGAGCUCUGUGCUAGGCAUUUGGCUGGAGGCACUGACAGUUGCAAGGGUGACAGUGGAGGGCCUCUGGUUUGCUUUGAGAAGGACAAAUACAUUUUACAAGGAGUCACUUCUUGGGGUCUUGGCUGUGCACGCCCCAAUAAGCCUGGUGUCUAUGUUCGUGUUUCAAGGUUUGUUACUUGGAUUGAGGGAGUGAUGAGAAAUAAU